AGAGUUUGAUCAUGGCUCAGGACGAACGCUGGCGGCGUGCCUAAUACAUGCAAGUCGAGCGAGCGGAACUAACAGAUUUACUUCGGUAAUGACGUUAGGAAAGCGAGCGGCGGAUGGGUGAGUAACACGUGGGGAACCUGCCCCAUAGUCUGGGAUACCACUUGGAAACAGGUGCUAAUACCGGAUAAUAAAGCAGAUCGCAUGAUCAGCUUUUAAAAGGCGGCGUAAGCUGUCGCUAUGGGAUGGCCCCGCGGUGCAUUAGCUAGUUGGUAAGGUAAAGGCUUACCAAGGCGAUGAUGCAUAGCCGAGUUGAGAGACUGAUCGGCCACAUUGGGACUGAGACACGGCCCAAACUCCUACGGGAGGCAGCAGUAGGGAAUCUUCCACAAUGGACGCAAGUCUGAUGGAGCAACGCCGCGUGAGUGAAGAAGGUUUUCGGAUCGUAAAGCUCUGUUGUUGGUGAAGAAGGAUAGAGGUAGUAACUGGCCUUUAUUUGACGGUAAUCAACCAGAAAGUCACGGCUAACUACGUGCCAGCAGCCGCGGUAAUACGUAGGUGGCAAGCGUUGUCCGGAUUUAUUGGGCGUAAAGCGAGCGCAGGCGGAAGAAUAAGUCUGAUGUGAAAGCCUUCGGCUUAACCGGAGAAGUGCAUCGGAAACUGGAUAACUUGAGUGCAGAAGAGGGUAGUGGAACUCCAUGUGUAGCGGUGGAAUGCGUAGAUAUAUGGAAGAACACCAGUGGCGAAGGCGGCUACCUGGUCUGCAACUGACGCUGAGACUCGAAAGCAUGGGUAGCGAACAGGAUUAGAUACCCUGGUAGUCCAUGCCGUAAACGAUGAGUGCUAGGUGUUGGAGGGUUUCCGCCCUUCAGUGCCGGAGCUAACGCAUUAAGCACUCCGCCUGGGGAGUACGACCGCAAGGUUGAAACUCAAAGGAAUUGACGGGGGCCCGCACAAGCGGUGGAGCAUGUGGUUUAAUUCGAAGCUACGCGAAGAACCUUACCAGGUCUUGACAUCUUGCGCCAACCCUAGAGAUAGGGCGUUUCCUUCGGGAACGCAAUGACAGGUGGUGCAUGGUCGUCGUCAGCUCGUGUCGUGAGAUGUUGGGUUAAGUCCCGCAACGAGCGCAACCCUUGUUACUAGUUGCCAGCAUUAAGUUGGGCACUCUAGUGAGACUGCCGGUGACAAACCGGAGGAAGGUGGGGACGACGUCAGAUCAUCAUGCCCCUUAUGACCUGGGCUACACACGUGCUACAAUGGACGGUACAACGAGUCGCGAACUCGCGAGGGCAAGCAAAUCUCUUAAAACCGUUCUCAGUUCGGACUGCAGGCUGCAACUCGCCUGCACGAAGUCGGAAUCGCUAGUAAUCGCGGAUCAGCAUGCCGCGGUGAAUACGUUCCCGGGCCUUGUACACACCGCCCGUCACACCAUGAGAGUUUGUAACACCCAAAGUCGGUGGGGUAACCUUUUAGGAGCCAGCCGCCUAAGGUGGGACAGAUGAUUAGGGUGAAGUCGUAACAAGGUAACC
rnacentral:rRNA from 1 species